GUUGGGUGUGGUGGUCUGUGCCUGUAAUCCCCAGCUACCUGGGAGCUGAGAGAGGAGGAUUGUGAGUUCAAGGUCAGCCUGGGUACACAGAAAGAUCCUGUCUCAA
rnacentral:sRNA from 1 species